rnacentral:rRNA from 1 species
GACGAACGCUGGCGGCGUGCCUAAUACAUGCAAGUCGAGCGAAUCAAAGGGAGCUUGCUCCCUAAGAUUAGCGGCGGACGGGUGAGUAACACGUGGGUAACCUGCCUGUAAGACUGGGAUAACUUCGGGAAACCGGAGCUAAUACCGGAUAGUUUCUUUUCUCGCAUGAGAGAAGAUGGAAAGAUGGUUCUGCUAUCACUUACAGAUGGACCCGCGGCGCAUUAGCUAGUUGGUGAGGUAACGGCUCACCAAGGCGACGAUGCGUAGCCGACCUGAGAGGGUGAUCGGCCACACUGGGACUGAGACACGGCCCAGACUCCUACGGGAGGCAGCAGUAGGGAAUCUUCCGCAAUGGACGAAAGUCUGACGGAGCAACGCCGCGUGAGCGAAGAAGGCCUUCGGGUCGUAAAGCUCUGUUGUUAGGGAAGAACAAGUAUCGGAGUAACUGCCGGUACCUUGACGAUACCUAACCAGAAAGCCACGGCUAACUACGUGCCAGCCGCCGCUGUAAAAC